GUCUAAGAGAUGAAUCCCCUGAAAGCCAAGCAGCAAAUAGUAUUAUACCAUGUCUUAAAAUCAUGGUGAUCCGCAAACUAAAAAUACCAACAGGUUUAGACUAGUAACACAACCAGCAAGGUAAUAAAAGAGCCUGUGCAAAUAGCAAGAUAUGCAUGGUAACUAAAAUCGCAAUUGUUUUUAGAACAACCAUGCAGUCACACGAUACUAACCACAAGCCACAGCAUACACAAACGUGCGCAUCAAAUCUUUUUAUCUAUCCAGCAAGAUGACUUCCAAAUAGCAGAAGCUUCAACUUCUCCAGCAAUCUUAGGAUAUGCAGCUGCUAUUCGGGGUAACUUCCCUUUCCAAGCCACUCCUUCCCAAAGUUCAUCAGGGUUGACC
rnacentral:lncRNA from 1 species